rnacentral:tRNA from 1 species
GAGGGCAUAGCUCAGUGGUAAAGUGCAUGUUUAGCAUGCACAAGGUCCUGGGUUCAAUCCCCAGCACCCCCA